GACGAACGCUGGCGGCGUGCUUAACACAUGCAAGUCGUACGGUAAGGCCCUUUCGGGGGUCCACGAGUGGCGAACGGGUGAGUAACACGUGAGUAACCUGCCCACAACUUUGGGAUAACGCUAGGAAACUGGUGCUAAUACUGGAUAUGUGCUCCUGCUGCAUGGUGGGGGUUGGAAAGCUCCGGCGGUUGUGGAUGGGCUCGCGGCCUAUCAGCUUGUUGGUGGGGUAGUGGCCUACCAAGGCGGCGACGGGUAGCCGGCCUGAGAGGGUGACCGGCCACAUUGGGACUGAGAUACGGCCCAGACUCCUACGGGAGGCAGCAGUGGGGAAUAUUGCACAAUGGGCGCAAGCCUGAUGCAGCAACGCCGCGUGCGGGAUGACGGCCUUCGGGUUGUAAACCGCUUUCAGCAGGGACGAAGCUUUUUGUGACGGUACCUGCAGAAGAAGCACCGGCUAACUACGUG
rnacentral:rRNA from 1 species